UACGUAGGGUGCAAGCGUUAAUCGGAAUUACUGGGCGUAAAGCGUGCGCAGGCGGUUGUGCAAGACAGAUGUGAAAUCCCCGGGCUCAACCUGGGAACUGCAUUUGUGACUGCACAGCUUGAGUGCGGCAGAGGGGGAUGGAAUUCCGCGUGUAGCAGUGAAAUGCGUAGAUAUGCGGAGGAACACCGAUGGCGGAGGCAAUCCCCUGGGCCUGCACUGACGCUCAUGCACGAAAGCGUGGGGAGCAAACAGG
rnacentral:rRNA from 1 species